rnacentral:rRNA from 1 species
CGGGGGGGGCAAGCGUUGUUCGGAAUUACUGGGCGUAAAGGGCUCGUAGGCGGCCAACUAAGUCAGACGUGAAAUCCCCAGGCUCAACCUGGGAACUGCGUCUGAUACUGGAUGGCUUGAAUACGGGAGAGGGAUGCAGAAUUCCAGGUGUAGCGGUGAAAUGCGUAGAUAUCUGGAGGAAUACCGGUGGCGAAGGCGGCAUCCUGGACCGGCAUUGACGCUGAGGAGCGAAAGCCAGGGGAGCAAACGGGAUUAGAUACCCCGGUAGUCCUGGCCCUAAACGAUGAAUGCUUGGUGUAACGGGUAUCGAUCCCUGUUGUGCCGAAGCUAACGCAUUAAGCAUUCCGCCUGGGGAGUACGGUCGCAAGGCUG